rfam:Myotis brandtii contig218445, whole genome shotgun sequence.
GGCAGUUCUUGGGUGAUACACCUGGAACCAGGAAGAAGGGAGCCUGAUUCCAGGGUGUGUCACCCGAGAAUCACC